rnacentral:rRNA from 1 species
CCCUUAGAUGUUCUGGGCUGCACGCGCGCUACACUGACGCACGCAACAGGUGCCUGCUCCGAGAGGACUGGGUAAUCAUUUGAGUGUGCGUCGUGAUGGGGAUAGAAUAUUGUAAUUAUUACUCUUCAACGAGGAAUUCCUAGUAAGCGCCAGUCAGCAGCUUGCGCUGAUUACGUCCCUGCCCUUUGUACACACCGCCCGUCGCUCCUACCGAUUGAAUGUUCCGGUGAGCUCUUCGGACUGCGCGGUCUGCAGUUUCUGCGUUCCGUGCGGAAAGUUGUGCAAACCUUAACAUUUAGAGGAAGGAGAAGUCGUAACA